UUAGGAAUCUUCCGCAAUGGGCGAAAGCCUGACGGAGCGAUACCGCUUGAAGGAGGAAGCCCUUCGGGGUGUAAACUUCUGAACUGGGGACGAUAAUGACGGUACCCAGGUAAUAGCACCGGCUAACUCCGUGCCAGCAGCCGCGGUAAUACGGAGGGUGCGAGCGUUACCCGGAUUUACUGGGUGUAAAGGGCGUGUAGGCGGUCUUGCAAGUCCGGUGCUAAAGACCGGGGCUCAACCCCGGGGGGG
rnacentral:rRNA from 1 species